UAAGAGUUUGGAACCUGGCUCAGGACGAACGCUGGCGGCGUGCCUAAUACAUGCAAGUAGAACGCUGAAGGAGGAGCUUGCUUCUCUGGAUGAGUUGCGAACGGGUGAGUAACGCGUAGGUAACCUGCCUGGUAGCGGGGGAUAACUAUUGGAAACGAUAGCUAAUACCGCAUAACAGUAGAUGUUGCAUGACAUUUGCUUAAAAGGUGCAAUUGCAUCACUACCAGAUGGACCUGCGUUGUAUUAGCUAGUUGGUGGGGUAACGGCUCACCAAGGCGACGAUACAUAGCCGACCUGAGAGGGUGAUCGGCCACACUGGGACUGAGACACGGCCCAGACUCCUACGGGAGGCAGCAGUAGGGAAUCUUCGGCAAUGGACGGAAGUCUGACCGAGCAACGCCGCGUGAGUGAAGAAGGUUUUCGGAUCGUAAAGCUCUGUUGUAAGAGAAGAACGAGUGUGAGAGUGGAAAGUUCACACUGUGACGGUAUCUUACCAGAAAGGACGGCUAACUACGACAGAC
rnacentral:rRNA from 1 species